rnacentral:rRNA from 1 species
AACGAACGCUGGCGGCAGGCUUAACACAUGCAAGUCGAGCGGAGAUGAGGUGCUUGCACCUUAUCUUAGCGGCGGACGGGUGAGUAAUGCUUAGGAAUCUGCCUAUUAGUGGGGGACAACAUUCCGAAAGGAAUGCUAAUACCGCAUACGCCCUACGGGGGAAAGCAGGGGAUCUUCGGACCUUGCGCUAAUAGAUGAGCCUAAGUCGGAUUAGCUAGUUGGUGGGGUAAAGGCCUACCAAGGCGACGAUCUGUAGCGGGUCUGAGAGGAUGAUCCGCCACACUGGGACUGAGACACGGCCCAGACUCCUACGGGAGGCAGCAGUGGGGAAUAUUGGACAAUGGGCGGAAGCCUGAUCCAGCCAUGCCGCGUGUGUGAAGAAGGCCUUUUGGUUGUAAAGCACUUUAAGCGAGGAGGAGGCUACCUGGAUUAAUACUCUAGGAUAGUGGACGUUACUCGCAGAAUAAGCACCGGCUAACUCUGUGCCAGCCGCCGCGGUAACAC